rnacentral:lncRNA from 1 species
AUGUGCAGAAAGGCGGCCCAACGCGUCCAGAUGCAGCACGGUUAUUUCUUCCGCUCACUUCGUGCAACUGACCCGUCUCUCCCCUCACCUCCCAGCAGGUGGACCAGCCCCUCCCCGCGGGGUGCCCUGCCAGGGCAGACCCCAGCGCCUCCAGGAGCGUUUCCCCCGCUCGCCGGGGGCUGCCCCGGCUGCACCCGCGGGGCGCCCCAGCCGCAGCGCGCUACCCCCCCGGGCCGCAGGCCGGGCACGACGCGCCCCCCCGCCCCUCGCAGCCCCGCUCCCUUCCAGGCCGGGCGGCGGCCCUGCCCCGCUCCCUCCGCCACCCACCCCCGGCUGGGCCUAGCGCCGCUCGGCUGCUGCCGCCAUGCCCGCGGAGAAGGGGGAAGGAGAUCCCCAGCCGGGCGGGGGGCCCCCACUCACCCAGGCCGAUCCCCUCAGGGCCGCCCCCGCCGCCUUCCAUGCCGGGCGGCGCGGGGCGGGGGGCGCAGCAGGGGCGGCGGCGGGCGGGCGGAGGAGGCGAGGCGGGAGGGCGGAGGGCAGGGCGGCCGGGGCCCUCCCUCCCCGCCUGCCUCCGCUCGGCCCCCUCGGCCGCCGCCGCGGCGCUCGAGCAGCCUCCGCCUCGGGGUCGGGGUCGAGCUCGGGGGCAGGCCCAGGCUCCGCCACCGCCGGCGGACGCGGCUCCCGCCCGGGCUCCCGCUCCCCUCGGCCGCCGCCGCAGCGCUACGUGGCCGCCGCAGCCAGUCUCGCGACUCCGCCGCGCGCACGCGCGCGGGAGCGCGCCGAGGAGGUGGCUGCCGCGAGCGGGGCGGGGGGGGACGCGCGCGCGCUGGGCAGGGGGGAAACUCCCAUAGGCCGAGGGGAACGCGAGCCAGGGGCGCAUGCGCCGUCGGGCGGCUGCCGGCUCCCCUCCCGCUCGCGAUUCACCUCGGGCCGCGGCGGAGCCGGAGGGGAGCGCGGCGCGCAGGCAACCAGGAAGUUACAAAGAUUCUUUUGCAAAGGGCUGAUCUGGUAGAUAAAGGUGAUUAG